CUACGGGACGCUCCAGUGGGGAAUAUUGCACAAUGGAGGAAACUCUGAUGCAGCAACGCCGCGUGGAGGAUGACACUUUUCGGAGCGUAAACUCCUUUUAUAUAGGAAGAAGAUGACGGUACUAUAUGCAUAAGCGCCGGCUAACUCCGUGCCAGCAGCCGCGGUAAUACGGAGGGUGCAAGCGUUACUCGGAAUCACUGGGCGUAAAGAGCGUGUAGGCGGAUUAAAAAGUCAGAAGUGAAAUCCUAUAGCUUAACUAUAGAACUGCUUCUGAAACUCUUAAUCUAGAAUAUGGGAGAGGUAGAUGGAAUUCCUGGUGUAGGGGUAAAAUCCGUAGAGAUCAGAAGGAAUACCGAUUGCGAAGGCGAUCUACUAGAACAUUAUUGACGCUGAGACGCGAAAGCGUGGGGAGCAAACAGGAUUAGAUACCCUCGUAGUC
rnacentral:rRNA from 1 species